GAUUAUGAACUCGACUUGUCGUUGCGGAGGUAAUCCAGGUAGUUCUUCUAGGAAAAUGUCGGGGAAGUCGCUCACUACUGGGAUGUUCUUUAGUUCUUUCGUUUCUAGAUUCGUGUCGACGACGUGAGCAAGGAAUGCGUGGUAUUCUUUGCGCAGGUAUUUCUAUGCUUGAAUACUCGAUAUAAUGCGAAGACUCGCACCAGGUUUGUCGCCGUAGACUAUAAGAGUUUCAUUAGACGGGAGGUUUAAACGGACUGCUUUCUCGUAGCACAUGAUGUCGGCGCGAUGAAGACUUAACCAAUCCAUGCCGAUAAUAACAUCGAAACUUUUUAUUGAGACCGGCAUAAGGUCGAUUGGGAAUGAAUGGUUAUCUAAAGUUAGGGUACAACCUAAGUAUAUGUUAUUUGUACUUUCAGUUUUCCCAUUGGCCAUUUCUACUGUGAAUUGUUCAUUAAGUGCGUGUGGUUGUUGCUUAAGCAUGCGAGCAAAUUUGUGGUUUACGAAGCUUCGCUCCGCUCCACUAUCGAACAGAAUGCAUGCAUAGGAGUUAUCAAGGAGGAACGUACCAGUCACCACUGUCGGGUCAGCAACUGCUUCCCCGUGGCCUAUAGCUAGUACCCUCCCUACUCCUCCAGCAUUCCUCGCUUUGGGGCAGUCCCUUUUAAAGUGGCCUGUUUCGCCACAUCCAUAGCAAGUUGGGCUCGCGCCUGAGCCAGGAACUUGGGAGAUCGGUUGUGCCGGGAACUUACAGAAACGGACGGUGUGUCCUUUUCUGUUGCAGUUAGAACACUGCAUUUCACGGCAGGCGCCGUUGUGGUGGAAGUUGCAUUUGUUGCACUUCGGCAAACUUCCAGCAUACUGCUUCCCCGGAGCAGUAACANNNNNNNNNNNNNNNNNNNNNNNNNNNNNNNNNNNNNNNNNNNNNNNNNNNNNNNNNNNNNNNNNNNNNNNNNNNNNNNNNNNNNNNNNNNNNNNNNNNNNNNNNNNNNNNNNNNNNNNNNNNNNNNNNNNNNNNNNNNNNNNNNNNNNNNNNNNNNNNNNNNNNNNNNNNNNNNNNNNNNNNNNNNNNNNNNNNNNNNNNNNNNNNNNNNNNNNNNNNNNNNNNNNNNNNNNNNNNNNNNNNNNNNNNNNNNNNNNNNNNGAAUGUUGUAGUGAUUGCCAAAAUCUUGAGGUGAACCUACUAUCUCUAUCGGAGAUAAUGGACAUAGGUACACCAUGUAGCCGUACGAUUUCCCUAAUGUAUGUUCUCGUAAGCUUCUCCAUCUUGUCGGUUUCUUUGAUAGGCAGGAAGUGUGCAGACUUGGUCAAUCUAUCAACGAUGACCCAUAUGGUGUCAAGUCCACCCGUUGUCUUGGGCAACUUGGUUAUGAAAUCCAUAGUGAUCCGCUCCCACUUCCAUUCCGGGAUCUCUGGUUGCUGCAAUAAACCAGAGGGCUUCUGGUACUCGACCUUAACCUUUGCGCAAGUAAGGCAUUUACUUACGAAGGUAGCAAUCUCUGCUUUCAUAUUAGGCCACCAGUAUAGCUUCUUAAGAUCCAGAUACAUCUUAUCUGAACCUGGGUGGACGGAAUACCGAGUGUUGUGCGCCUCGGUCAUGACCAAGUCUCGGAAACCACCAUGUUUCGGUGUCCAGAUCCGGUUCAUGAAAUAUAAAGCUCCGUCACCCUUGGCUUCUAAAUUCUUGUCCAUUCCUCUAAGGGAUUCACUUGACACAUUUUCAGAUUUCAUGGCCUCAAGUUGAGCCGCCUGAAUUUGCUUAGUCAGGUGUGAAUGGAUGGUUAUCGAUAAUGACUUGACUUUGCGACCAGAAUAUUCCUUCCGACUUAGGGCGUCUGCUACUACGUUGGCUUUACCCGGAUGAUAACGAAUAUCGCAUUCGUAAUCACUGAGUAGCUCGACCCACCGUCGUUGUCUCAUGUUGAGCUCCUUUUGAUCGAAAAUGUGUUGUAAACUCUUGUGGUCGGUAAAGAUAGUGCUCUUCGUUCCAUACAAGUAAUGUCUCCAGAUCUUCAGAGCAAACACCACUGCUCCUAGUUCAAGAUCGUGGGUCGUGUAGUUAACCUCGUGUGUCUUCAACUGUCUCGAGGCGUAGGCGAUGACCUUACCUCGCUGCAUCAGAACACAUCCGAGUCCUUGAUUUGAUGCAUCGCAAUAAACUACGAAGUCUUCUAUUCCUUCGGGAAGGGAUAGUAUUGGUGCGGUGCACAAGGCUCGUUUGAGCGUUUGGAACGCUCUUUCUUGUUUCUCUUCCCAGUCAAAGGCCACGCCUUUCUGGGUUAGGGUUGUAAGAGGUUUCGCUAUUCGAGAGAAGUUCUGAAUGAAUCUGCGGUAGUAGCCAGCGAGACCUAGAAAUUGACGAAUUUCUGUAGGCGUCUUCGGUGCUGACCAGUUCUCAAUGGCUUUAAUUUUGGAAGGGUCCACGUGGAUUCCCUCUUCACUUACCACGUUUCCCAAGAAUUUGACUCUUCGAAUCCAAAAUUCACAUUUUGAGAACUUUGCAUAAAGUUUCUCCUUUCGUAAAGUUUCUAGGACUUGUCGCAGAUGAUCGCCGUGUUCUUUCUUACUUCGGGAGUAGAUCAGGAUGUCGUCAAUGAAAACGAUGACGAACUGAUCCAAGUAAGGUCGGCAUACUCUAUUCAUCAAAUCCAUGAAGAAUGCGGGCGCAUUGGUCAAUCUGAAUGGCAUCACCACGAACUCGUAGUGUCCGUAACGAGUUCGGAAGGCUGUCUUCGGCACAUCCUCCUCUAGCACUCGUAACUGGUGAUAUCCGGAUCUCAGAUCAAUCUUGGAAAAAUAGCUCGCCCCUUGCAGUUGGUCGAAUAGAUCAUCUAUGCGUGGCAGUGGAUAACGAUUCUUGAUCGUCAAUUUGUUGAGUUCUCUGUAGUCAAUACACAUAUGGAAUGAUCCGUCUUUCUUCUUAACGAACAAGACCGGUGCUCCCCAAGGUGAGAAACUCGGUCUUAUAAAGCCCUUGCUGAGCAGUUCGUUAAGUUGACCAGAGAGUUCCUGCAUCUCAGCUGGUGCUAAGCGGUAGGGCGACUUGGCUACUGGGGUAGCUCCUGGGACUAAGUCGAUUCUGAACUCGACCUGUCGUUGCGGAGGUAACCCGGGUAGUUCUUCUGGGAAAAUGUCGGGGAAGUCGCUCACUACUGGGAUGUUCUUUAGUUCUUUCGUUUCUAGAUUUGUGUCGACGACGUGAGCAAGGAAUGCGUGGUAUUCUUUGCACAUGUAUUUCUAUGCUUGAAUACUCAAUAUAAUGCGAAGACUCGCACCAGGUUUGUCGCCGUAGACUAUAAGAGUUUCGUUAGACGGGAGGUUUAGACGGACUGCUUUCUCGUAGCACAUGAUGUCGGCGCGAUGAAGACUUAACCAAUCCAUGCCGAUAAUAACGUCGAAACUUUUUAUUGAGACCGGCAUAAGGUCGAUUGGGAAUGAAUGGUUAUCUAAGGUUAGAAGACAACCUAAGUAUAUGCUAUUAGUACUUUCAGUUUUCCCAUUGGCCAUUUCUACUGUGAAUUGUUCAUUAAGUGCGUGUGGUUGUUGCUUAAGCAUGCGAGCAAAUUUGUGGUUUACGAAGCUUCGCUCCGCUCCACUAUCGAACAGAAUGCAUGCAUAGGAGUUAUCAAGGAGGAACGUACCAGUCACCACUGUCGGGUCAGCAACUGCUUCCCCGUGGCCUAUUGCUAGUACCCUCCCUGCUCCUCCAGUAUUCCUCGCCUUAGGGCAGUCCCUUUUAAAGUGGCCUGUUUCGCCACAUCCAUAGCAAGUUGGGCUCACGCCAGAGCCAGGAACUUGGGAGAUCGGUUGCGCCGGGAACCUACAGAAUCGGACGGUGUGUCCUUUCCUGUGGCAGUUAGUACACUGCAUUUCACGGCAGGCGCCGUUGUGGUGGAAGUUGCAUUUGUUGCACUUCGGCAAACUUCCAGAAUACUGCUUCCCCGGAGCAGUAACAGCAGUAGGGGCUACCGCAGCAUGUACUGCUACGAUUUGCUGUUUCUUUGAAGCUCGCUGCUUCUUCUUCUCAUCCCAGAACUUCCGCUUGUUGCCAGCGGGUUUGGAGGGUUCUGGGAUGGCUUGGGUGGUUGUGGUUGCAGGGGUCUUGACUCCAUGGUCAAUAAGUCUUUGUGCCAAUCGCUUGGCACUGUCGAAGGUAGCAGGGUUGGAUGCUAAGACGUUCCCCUGGUACGGAGGCACUAGCCCCCAUACAUACCGCUCAAUCUUUUUCCCUUCAGUGGGAACCAUGUUGGGGCAUAGGGCCACCAGUUCGCUAAAGCGGGCAGUGUAAGCGAUCACGUUGGUGCCCUUCAUUGUCAGAUUCCAGAGUUCAUGUUCUAACUUCUGGACUUCGCCCCUAGGGCAGUAUUCCUCAGUCAUGAGGUCCUUCAUCGUUGCCCAGCCCAUGUCGUUAGCCACGACGAGAGUUAGGGCUUUGACGUGGCCGUUCCACCACGUUAGGGCUUUAUCCUCGAAGGUGCAUGCGGCAUAUUUCACUUUGAAUGCUGCAGGGCACGAACAGAUUUCGAAGACUGAUUCAGUCUUCUCGAACCAUUGCGAGAGAGCAAUGACUCCGCCGGUGCCAUAGAAAGGCUUCGGCUUGCAGUUUGUAAAAUCCUUGUAAGAGCACUCCCUCGAGCGCACAGGGAUUUCAACUGGGAUAGAUUCAACAGGGGUUCCACCUCUGCUAGCAUCCGAUGAGUGAUACUGAGCCAUGGCAGUUGCCACUGCUGCAGCUACGGCAGCAUUCAGGGCUGCAGUAUCGAUGACUGCAGGUGGUGGAGGCGGUGGAGGUACAGGAUUAUUCCUAUUUCUGGGAGACUUGCGAGGAGGCAUCCUUCAGCUAUAAGUUUAUAAAAACAAGAAGGAUGAUAAGAAUCAAUUUGUAAGCAAUGUGAGAGUGACCCAUGGACUAAUUACCCAUAGCCCAACAGUUGAAUGAGUGUUAGAAAUCACAAUAAGAAAUAUCAGUAGGAAUACACAAGUGUACAAAUUUUUCCCACAGAUUAGGUAGAUUUCAAUAGUACGGGUAUUACUGAUGUAAUAAGUUCAAGGAAAAUCGACCUAACAGUAGGUCUUACAUCAUACCAUAAGGACAAUACUGACAGUCCUAGAUUCCUAAUUAGAGUACCGAAAGUUAGGAAUAUUUUACAGACAAGUGCUACUUAGAGCACAUAAGUUCAAGGCUAUCCCUAAAUCAAAAGACAGAGAUGUACUAGACAUCAUCUAAUGGCGAUGGGAAUUCCUCGGGCGAUCCCUGAGGUCGGACACUUGGCGAAACACCUCUUGAAGGUGUCGGUCCUGAGCUCUCUGACGAGCUCGAAGUUCUAAGACUUCAGCACGGGAGGCAGCCAGCUGUUGCUGCAGAGUUUCGUUGGUUCUCCGGGUCCGUUCCAUGUCUUCUUCAAGACGGCGAAUGCGGACUGUAUUGACACCUGAAUUGGCAUCAAUCUCCAUGACCCGGUCGAUGGCUGCUCGACCUUGCUCGACAUUACGAGCUAUUCUGCGGAUGAUCACCGGCAGAGCUCUGUCAGCAGAGCCACCAUCGCUGAUGUUGUAGAAGGUUCGGUCCCCAAAGUAUGGUAAGGGCUGACCCUGCUCAUCACUCCAGCGAUUCAGAUUGUUUGCCCACAUGGGAGUAGGACCUGGAAACGCUGGUCGAGGGUUGUUGUUCGGGGCUUGACCUACAAGCGGUAGGUUGUUGACUUCAGGCUCGGAGUCAGAUCCAUCUGAAAAGCCUUCUGCGAGGUGAUCAUCCAAAGGGAUUGGAUGCUCAUCUUCGGGCUCUUCAUCGAUCCACCCGGCAUUGCCUUCAUUGGGAAAGUACGGGUCGCCAUGAUGGAAUCCAGCCAUUUAGAUCUACGCGAGAAGAGAGGUAUAAGAAUAUAGUAUACGUGUAACUAGUAGCACAAAAUACUCCUAUAGUAUUUUAAGUUUAAGUUCUACUGAUCUUCUUGUGGUAUUGUUGGUAAGUUUUUAGACUUGUUAACAUAUCACAACCAUUCUAGGGCAUAUGCUAAUCACUCCUAGGACCAGCAUAGUUGAUCAGGCUAUGCCAUUCCCAGGACUGACCAUACAUCCCCGAGCUCACUUGUGAUAUUCAACAAUCGUAAUACUUUUGUUCUUGUCAUUGUGACACUGAUUUUAGUAUGAAUGCAGACUAGUAUACUUAAUUAAAUAUUUUAUUAUUUAAAGUAUAGACUCUUGGUCAGAGUGUUUUAGUCCCUUUU
rnacentral:lncRNA from 1 species